rnacentral:rRNA from 1 species
AGCGAACGCUGGCGGCAGGCCUAACACAUGUAAGUCGAACGAAGUCUUCGGACUUAGUGGCGGACGGGUGAGUAACACGUGGGAACGUGCCUUUAGGUUCGGAAUAACUCAGGGAAACUUGUGCUAAUACCGAAUGUGCCCUUCGGGGGAAAGAUUUAUCGCCUUUAGAGCGGCCCGCGUCUGAUUAGCUAGUUGGUGAGGUAAAGGCUCACCAAGGCGACGAUCAGUAGCUGGUCUGAGAGGAUGAUCAGCCACAUUGGGACUGAGACACGGCCCAAACUCCUACGGGAGGCAGCAGUGGGGAAUCUUGCGCAAUGGGCGAAAGCCUGACGCAGCCAUGCCGCGUGAAUGAUGAAGGUCUUAGGAUUGUAAAAUUCUUUCACCGGGGACGAUAAUGACGGUACCCGGAGAAGAAGCCCCGGCUAACUUCGUGCCAGCCGCCGCGGUAAGAC